rnacentral:tRNA from 1 species
AAGAUGUACAAAAAGACUUCUAAUCUUUAAUAAAUGGUGAUCUCAUUACAUCUUU